rnacentral:rRNA from 1 species
AAAAAAAUGCUACGCCUGCAGAUUCAUGCUCUGCCACCCAAUACAUUAGCAUGGGAUAAUGGAAUAGUACCCUGUCCUCCUAUUUUCAGUUGGUUUUGGCAGCGCGAGGACUAGGGUAAUGAUUAAUAGGGAUAGUUGGGGGCAUUAAUAUUUAAUUGUCAGCCGUGAAAUUCUUGGAUUGCUGAAAGAUUAACUACUGCGAAAACAUCUGCCAAGGAUGUUUUCAUUAACCAAGAACGAAAGUUAGGGGAUCGGGGACGAUCAGAUACCGUCGUAGUCUUAACCAUAAACGAUGCCGACCAGCGAUUAGGAGACGUUGAAUACAGGUCACCACCAUCGGCGCGAUCGAA